ACUCAAAUGAAUAGACGGGGGCUCGCACAAGCGGUGGAGCGUGUGGCUUAAUUCGUCGCUAAACGAAGAACCUUACCAAGGUUAGAAAUCCAGCUGCAUACUGCGGAAACGUAGUAGCCUUCGAGGGUGCUGGACAGGUGAUGCAUGGCUGUCGUCAGUUCGUGGUUUGAACUGUUCCCUUCAGUGGGGUAACGAACGCAACCCUUGUUGUCUGUUACACGUAUCAGGCGAGACUGCCCCCUCACGGGGGAGGAAGGUAAGGAUGACGCCAAGUCAGCAUGUCCCUCUGAUAUCUUGGGCCGCACACGCGCUACAAUGGCAUGAACAACGGGACGCGAAGCCGCGAGGCGGAGCAAAUCCUUCAAAUCAUGCCUCAGUUCGGAUUGUAGGCUGCAACUCGCCUACAUGAAGCUGGAAUCGCUAGUAAUCGUGGGUCAGCUAUACCACGGUGAAUACGUUCUCGAGCCUUGUACACACCGCCCGU
rnacentral:rRNA from 1 species